AAUCAGCCAUUGAAACCCAGCAGAAGAGCAGGGAAGGGAGGGUGGAGGGGCGGGGGCUCCCCUUUCUUCUGGGCUUGGUUCAGGGAGGAGGCCAAAAGAGGAAUUUACCAGGGAAGCGAUUGAAAGACAAAAGUCCACUCUAAAGUGAAGUUUCCUCCAGAAGCCGUCCACGGAGGCCACGAUCAGGAAGCCUGGGCCGUCUGCCUGUGAGAGGCGAACACAAGAGAUUCUCCUGAGAGUCACAGACUGGCUGGUCUGGUGUAUGCAACAGAGAAAGGGAGACCCUGUUUGAAAAAGGCUGAAGGUUUGCCGAGUUGAAUGCCAAAGAGUCUUCGAAGGACAAUUUCCAUUCAGGGAGAUCCGGUUACCCAGCUCCUAGAAAAGUAAGAAGACAUUCCUUAGGGCAGCAAUCCACACACUCUCGGCGCUAAAACAGUGGACACUGUGGAGACACAGGAUUUGACUUUCUCCCCUACUGUGAUGACGAUCACAAUAUUUACAGCCACCAGUAUUGAUCAAAGGUACCAGAUAUCCUGUCAAGAGACAUUAUACUGAAUGGAAGAUAUUCUUGAUAUUCUCCUAAUAAAGGGUACCAAGUCUUUCCAGGUAGCCUGGAUGGUGAAAACUGUUCCUUCAUGGAAUGUCACCAUGUGGCACAAUCAUUCCUCAACUGAGCCAUAGAAAAUCCAAACACUCCCAAAACAACUGGUACACCAUGGAGAGAGAAAAUCGAAUGGCUUCCUGUUAUAGUUUGAAUGUGAAAGGCUCCCUACAUGUUCAUGUAUUUAAAUUGGUGAUGCCAUUUGGGAAAGCUGGGUGACCUGUAGGGGGGGUCACAUCUUGAUGGAAGAAAUGUAUCACUAGGGGCGGGUCUUGAGAAGCCUAGUUCACUUCCUGUUUACUCUACAUGUUUCAUGACUAUGUAUGCCAUGUGACCAGCUGUCCUCUGGAUCCAGUUGCCACACCCUCCCUGCUGUGAUGGAAUACAGGCCCUUGAACUAUAAACAAGAAUAAACAACCAAGUACCAACUCACCAAAAUCUGUUAUCAGUAAGUACUUGCCCUGUAAAAGUUUCACUAAUAAUGUCUAUGAAAAAAAUGGUUAAAACCUUUAGGGGUAUCCAUCUUUUGACAUGACAGCAUGACAAUGUCAUCUACAAAUGUUCUGGGUAGGAUCUGUAGCUAUAGGAGAGAAGAAGAAACCUGAGAUUCACAAGUGGCAGCUUGGACACACCUGCCAAAUAACAGGGUCUCUAACUUGAGAUGGUUUAACUUACAUUCUUCAAUUUUAUUGUUCUACAAGAUCAAUAAGCAUCCUGUAAGAACUAUACUUCAAAUCUUUCAUCUGGAUCCUUUCCAAGGCUAGUCUUUUUAUGCAGCUAGAUACAUUCUUUCGUGGACUAUCUGUAAGUUUUGAUGCUCAGUAGGUCAUAUUAUUAAAUGCUUUUUGACACAAAGAUAAUUUCAAUUUAUGGAUGUUUAUAAGGAUGUAACUCAGUUCUAACUCAAAGAGCAGUUGGAGCUUCUUUGACAAUAUUGUUAAUUAAACAGGGAGUGUGCACUG
ensembl:lincRNA uncharacterized LOC110322634